AGCUCGGGGCUGCGCAGAGGGAAGGCUCGCCUAGUCGGUCCGCAUCCGUGUCGACCACCUGUCUGGACACCACGAAGAUGCCACCCGUUGUGGGCAAAAAGGCCAAGAAGGGCAUCCUAGAACGUUUAAAUGCUGGAGAGAUUGUGAUUGGAGAUGGAGGGUUUGUCUUUGCACUGGAGAAGAGGGGCUACGUAAAGGCAGGACCCUGGACUCCUGAAGCUGCUGUGGAGCACCCAGAAGCAGUUCGCCAGCUUCAUCGAGAGUUCCUCAGAGCUGGCUCAAACGUCAUGCAGACCUUCACCUUCUAUGCGAGUGAAGACAAGCUGGAGAACAGGGGCAACUAUGUCUUAGAGAAGAUAUCUGUGAGUAAAACCAGCCGUGGGACUUUUAGAAGGAUAUUGUUGACCUAUUGCAUCAACAAAGCUCCCAUAGAGAAAAGGGUUCAACCUCUUCAGAGUUUUGUUUUAUUUCUAAUAAUACAAAAAUGAGAGGCAUGAAUAACAGCCCUAGGUUUUAUUUAGCUGGAAUCCCCAAAAUUAACAAAGAGGCAUUUAGCGAAGCAGAUGAAAGAAGAGGUAUUUAAUGAUUACUG
rnacentral:sRNA from 1 species